rnacentral:rRNA from 1 species
UAUGUGAUCGUCUCUCGCAUAUCAAUAAGCGGAGGAAAAGAGGGCUAUUACCUACGCUUAGGAUGUUGACACACGCGCGUGCUCGACUCUAUACAUGACUCUGCUGCAUAUCAAUAAGCGGAGGAAAAGAAACUAACAAGGAUUCCCCUAGUAACGGCGAGUGAAGCGGGAAGAGCUCAAAUUUGAAAUCUUAAAGGGUUUCCCUUUACGAAUUGUAGUUUAAAGAAGUGUUUUCUGUUGAGGUUUUGGUAAAAGUUCUUUGGAAUAGGACAUCAUAGAGGGUGAGAAUCCCGUAUUUGACCUUUACUUUCAACUUUGUGAUACACUUUCAAAGAGUCGGAUUGUUUGGGAAUGCAGUCCAAAAUGGGUGGUAAAUUUCAUCUAAAGCUAAAUAUUGGCGAGAGACCGAUAGCGAACAAGUACCGUGAGGGAAAGAUGAAAAGAACUUUGAAAAGAGAGUUAAACAGUACGUGAAAUUGUCAAAAGGGAAGCGUUUGACACCAGUGUUGUUUUUCUGAAAAUCAAUUAAAGAACUGUUUAUGCUAAGCUGUUUAGACUUUAUCAGCUAAUCUGUUUAGUUUUGAGCUUUUCUUUAAUGCACUUUUCAGUUAACAAGUCAACAUCAAUUUCUUUUGCUGUAAAAAAGCUUGAGGAAGGUGGCUAGAGAUUCGUCUUAAGUGUUUAUAGCCUCUUGCCUAUGCAGUCGGAGAGAUUGAGGUCUGCAGCGUAGAUCCUUCGGGGCUAAAUGCAUUUGUGCUAAGUUAUAGCAUUUUAUAGACAACUUGUUGACUAUGAUUUGUCCUGUAGCUUACUCGCUUAUGUUAUUUUACCUACGCUUAGGAUGUUGAUCUACAGAGCGAGAGU